AUUGAACGCUGGCGGCAGGCCUAACACAUGCAAGUCGAACGGUAACAGAAAGAAGCUUGCUUCUUUGCUGACGAGUGGCGGACGGGUGAGUAAUGUCUGGGAAACUGCCUGAUGGAGGGGGAUAACUACUGGAAACGGUAGCUAAUACCGCAUAACGUCGCAAGACCAAAGAGGGGGACCUUCGGGCCUCUUGCCAUCGGAUGUGCCCAGAUGGGAUUAGCUUGUUGGUGGGGUAACGGCUCACCAAGGCGACGAUCCCUAGCUGGUCUGAGAGGAUGACCAGCCACACUGGAACUGAGACACGGUCCAGACUCCUACGGGAGGCAGCAGUGGGGAAUUUUGCACAAUGGGCGCAAGCCUGAUGCAGCCAAGCCGCGUGUAUGAAGAAGGCCUUCGGGUUGUAAAGUACUUUCAGCGGGGAGGAAGGGAGUAAAGUUAAUACCUUUGCUCAUUGACGUUACCCGCAGAAGAAGCACCGGCUAACUCCGUGCCAGCAGCCGCAGUAA
rnacentral:rRNA from 1 species